rnacentral:rRNA from 2 species
AAAUUGAAGAGUUUGAUCAUGGCUCAGAUUGAACGCUGGCGGCAGGCCUAACACAUGCAAGUCGAACGGUAACAGGAAACAGCUUGCUGUUUCGCUGACGAGUGGCGGACGGGUGAGUAAUGUCUGGGAAACUGCCUGAUGGAGGGGGAUAACUACUGGAAACGGUAGCUAAUACCGCAUAACGUCGCAAGACCAAAGAGGGGGACCUUCGGGCCUCUUGCCAUCGGAUGUGCCCAGAUGGG